rnacentral:rRNA from 1 species
GACGAACGCUGGCGGCGUGCUUAACACAUGCAAGUCGAAGAUAGUGGCGAACGGGUGAGUAACACGUGAGUAACCUGCCCUUUUCUUUUGGAUAAGCCUGGGAAACUGGGUCUAAUACUGGAUGGAUUGGGAUGGGCUAGGGGCUUAUCAGCUUGUUGGUGUGGUGAUGGCUUACCAAGGCUUUGACGGGUAGCCGGCCUGAGAAGGUGGUCGGGAACACUGGGACGGAGAUACGGCCCAGACUCCUACGGGAGGCAGCAGUGGGGGAUAUGGCACAAUGGAUGAAAGUCUGAUGCAGCGAGGUCGUGUGGGGGAUGAAGGCCUUCGGGUUGUAAACGCCUUUCGGCAGCGGAAUGGUAUUGGGUAAAGAAGCGCCGGCUAACUACGUGCCAGCAGCCGCGGUAAUAC